UACGUAGGCAGCGAGCGUUGUUCGGAAUUACUGGGCGUAAAGAGUGUGUAGGCGGUGCUCUAAGUUCGGUGUGAAAUCUCCUGGCUCAACUGGGAGGGUGCGCCGGAAACUGGAGUGCUUGAGCGUGGGAGAGGAGACUGGAAUACUUGGUGUAGCAGUGAAAUGCGUAGAUAUCAAGUGGAACACCAGUGGCGAAGGCGAGUCUCUGGACAUUUCCUGACGCUGAGGCACGAAAGCCAGGGGAGCAAACGGG
rnacentral:rRNA from 1 species